rnacentral:lncRNA from 12 species
UUCAUGGCUGGCUCUUUUGACCAAGAACUCAGGGCUCCUUCUAUGCAGUGCACUCACCUUAGAACUCAAGGGAUAUAUACCACAUCUAGCAUGUGGUGCAUGCAUCCGUAAUGGACAACAAAGUGUGUGUUUUGUGAAGGGAGACUGUGCACUGGAAAUGUAAGUAGUAGUUGGUUUCAAGAUGACUAUGGUUCUGCAUGGUUUACUUUAAAAUACUGAUGAUUGUUUAGUGCCCUAAUGGUUUACAUCUGCUUCAACCAUGUAGUUAUUCUGACCGAUUUCUCUACCAUGCAUUCACAAAGUGACCUAAGAGGUCAAAUACACUUAAUUGUCAUCAUCAUCUUCCUCCUCCUCUCACCAUGAGCAGCAACAGUAUCAGCAUCAUCUAUUUAUUGAGGCAGGCAACAUGCUAAGAUUUGACAGUCACUAUUUUAUUCAACACUCAUAACAAACGUAAGAGUUCGUGACAUUAUUAUUAUGUCCAUUUUGUAAAUGAGCAGAAUGAGGUGAAUAUCAAAGACCUAUAGUAAUGACAGAGGGUAUAACUUAUUUCCUGCCCAUCAUGAUCCCAAUUCAACACAGUUAUCCUGGCUAGGCAGGGAAUGAUGAUUCUUAACCAAUACUACUUGGUUGGUUAAGUCUGUGUCCUUUUUACCCAAUAUAUUGUCAGUAGCAGUGGAGUAGAUUACUAAGAAUAAUGCCAAUGUCUUUUCUUUCAGAUUUUCUGACUUAUGCUAACUUGGAAAGCAGACAUCAACAGAUAUGGUUCCAUUACUUAAAAAACAGACACAUAGAGAAGGUGGGGGAAAAGAGGGACAUACUCCCUUUGGGCACUUUUACAUGUAGGUACCACAAAGCAAAAGUUUUUGUACCAGUUUUGCAUGAGUUAGGAUCUUCAGGUAUGGUGACUAUUGAUUGCAUGUAUGUCUUUUACAGAUUAUUUAUUCUAGAGGAAUUGAAGCCUGACAUCAUAAGAAGGGAUAAUGCCUCCUUACAUUGCUAGUAGAUACUACUGUCUCUCAGUCUGCCAGCGCUCCACCAUAAAGCACAUGGAUUAAGGUGUUGAUUAAAACUUGGUCAAAGGCAGCCCUGGUGGCCCAGUGGUUUGGCACUGCCUUCGGCCCAGGGCGUGAUCCUGGAGACCCGGGAUCCAGUCCCACGUCAGGCUCCCUGCAUGGAGCCUACUUCUCCCUCUGCCUGUGUCUCUGCCUCUCUCUCUCUCUCUCUCUCUCUCUUUGUCUCAUGAAUAAAUAAAUAAAAUCUUAAAAAAAAAAGAAAACU